rnacentral:misc_RNA from 1 species
AGUGAUGUCGGGCCCUGCAGUUGAAAACUAAAGAGGACAACAGGCACAUGAAGAGAUCCUCACUGGCAGCGGCAACGCCGUCGCGGGCGAGAAACAAUGAAUAUAUUUUUUUUUCGCACUCGCAUACCUGCUCUUUCCUUCCGCAUUCCUGUAUGCCGCUUGAUUCCUGUGUUUCUGAUGACCAGAUGCGCCCGUUUCAGUGCGGCGUAUCACCCAGUCCACUACACUAGCUCUUUGAGUUAAAGCCAAGCAGCCCACCCGACUCUCCCCCUGCUAUCCUCCGCCAAAUGCCGAGCCACCUCUGGCUGUGGCACGAUCAGGCACCUACGACGUAAGGCAGCGGGGGUGGAGGAGGAGGAGGAGGAGGGUGUCUGAGCGGUGCAUCGCUGCUGACGUCGGCGGUCCGGUGCUGGACGGCGUGGCGUCGCAGCGGCCCGCGAUCGUGUCAGCAGGGCGGCGCCAUCCAUAGGAGUUUAGGCGGCGUGCCAGCGUGGCUCGGACGUAUCCCCUCCCCCCGCCACCCCUCCCCUCGGUCCUCACACGGCCUACUAGUGUGGGUGGGUGGGUGGGGGCUGAGUGCCACCGCCGAUGAGGGGGCAGGGAUGCGCCAGGGGUGGCGACGGGGCAUGAUGGACGCGGCUGUGAGGGACCCUGCGCUGCGGGCCUCUGGGUAUGGUUUGAGGCGGAGGCGGUGUUCCGAUGACAGAGUCGGCGCGUUGCUGUAAGGCUAUUGCAGCGCUGCUUCGCACGACGCGAUGGGGAGGAGGGGGCCUGUGACAGGGGCUUCGGCAAGAGUGUGUGUGUAUUUGUGGCGUUUAACUCGUGUACGGCAGAGAAUGUUCAUGCUGCAAACAAGAAGACGAAACGACAUUUUCGGCUGUACGGCUGACUCUCGUUUUGAUGAGGGAUCUUACCUUGUGGGGCGCAGAGCCCCUCAAAAUGCCAAGAGGCGUGUGCCUACCAAUCCGGACGGCGUGGCCAGCAACGAAUGGUACGUGGUCGACAUCCGGGCAGGGGUCCUUGUCUGUCGCUAUCGGAAUCUUUUCGUUUAUCUUGCCAUCUGCGCCGGUAUUGGCAACCUUUCCUUUCGAUUUCACUUCUUCCCCGCAUCGCUCCCUCGCGCGUUUGUACGGGCACCGACACACACACACACACACACACGCAUACACACACACACACACGAUUCGUCCCCUCCCACUGCCCCGUUCGGGCUGAUACUCGACGAGCGCAG